AAUGGAUCACAAUAUGAUUGUGAGAUAUCAUGCUAUCUUCAUGAAAAAUAGUUUAUCCAAGAUAGAGAUAGUGGGAGGAUAAGCUGGAAGAGAGAGUCUCUGAAGAGCAACGAGUCAUAAGAUCUGUAAAACUUAUUCAUGAUGAACCAGUUCAUGUAGUAUCUCUUCCAACUCAUAGAUCUAGUAGGAUCUUCUAUCCUUCUGAAAGGUAUUUAAUUUUUUAUAGAAGAUUCGAAACAUAGAGAUUAUCCUAAAAUCUACAACAAGGUGAUGUGCGAUAUUGACCCCGAG
rnacentral:lncRNA from 1 species